AUACCUUUUUCGGCCUUUUGGCUAAGAUCAAGUGUAGUACUGUUCUUAUCAGUUUAACAUCUGAUAUGUGGGUCAUUGGCCAACCUAGUAUUAAAUUUAUUUUUUUAAGGGAAGGGCCUACUAACUUGCUAUUGGGCCUUUAAGCGUUGCCAAGUGUUGCACUAUUGCACGGAUUGGCCCACCCCCA